GACCAGUGAUUGCAGGAAUUAACCGGCGCCAUGGGGUAAUCACCGGACAAGAUGGAAUCGAGGACUAUUUUACACUGUAUGCAGAUGUCCCUCUAAAUGAUAUGUUUGGUUAUGCCACUGAGCUUAGGUCAUGCACUGAGGGGAAGGGAGAGUACACAAUGGAGUACUGCAGAUAUCAGCCAUGUUCGCCAUCCACCCAAGAGGAACUCAUUAAUAAGUAUUUGGAAGCUACAGGUCAACUUCCUGUAAAAAAAGGAAAAGCCAAGAACUAACUUUCCUCACUUACAUUGACUAACUUUUACUGAAUCUGCAGGGUUUAGAUAUUUUAAUGGCUUCCAGUAGAAUGAAUUCAGGCAGAAACAAGGAGUUUUAGAAGCCCUUUCUAUUAUAUCCAGGAGCUCCUAUCAUAUCAAACUUAAUUCUCUGUAUAUCUCAACUUUAUUGAGUGGUUUUUAGUUCACUGAAAAACCUCAAAAUAUGAUUAUUACUGAAAUUAAUAUUUAUUUUAAGGGGGAGAAGAUAUAUCAGUUACACUUCUAGGCUAAGAAUGUAUGUAACUUUCCUUUCCAAAUUUUUAUCAUAAGAAUUUUUAACAAAAAACUGAAAGAACA